rnacentral:lncRNA from 1 species
GCCGGGCGUGGUGGUGCAUGCCUUUAAUCCCAGCACUCGGGAGGCAGAGGCAGGCAGAUUUCUGAGUUCAAGGCCAGCCUGGUCUACAGAGUGAGUUCCAGGACAGCCAGGACUACACAGAGAAACCCUGUCUCAAAACAAACAAACAAACAAAACAAAACAAAACAACAACGUUUGGGGUUGGUUGGUUGUUUUUCAAGACAGUGUUUCUCUGUGUAGCCCUGGGUAUCCUAGAACUCACUCUGUAGACCAGGCUGGCCUUCAACUCAGAGAGAUCUACCUGCCU